rnacentral:lncRNA from 1 species
UAUCUUGAGUUUUUGGAAAAAUUUUGGACUUAAACCUCUUGGAAAAGAUAUUAUUAUGUAAAGAAGCUAUAUAUACAAAUUUUGUAGCAUUUGAAUGCUUAGUUUGUGAAAUAUGAAGAAAAUUACAUGCAAGUAUAUAAAAAUUAGGAUUUGAAGCUACUGUUAGGAUUUCUGUGAUAUCUUAAGAUCCACGAAAAAUUUGAAAUUGAAAUUUUUUAUAAUAGUUGUUAGAAGUAUAUCAAUACUUCAUGUAAAAUUUGAAUU